rnacentral:hammerhead_ribozyme from 1 species
AUCCAGCUGACGAGUCCCAAAUAGGAUGAAACGCGUGUCAAACGGGU